rnacentral:rRNA from 1 species
GGGUGCGAUCAUACCGGCGUUAAUGCACCGGAUCCCAUCAGAAGUCCGCAGUUAAACGCGCUUGGGCUAGAGUAGUACUGGGAUGGGUGACCUCCCGGGAAGUCCUAGUGUUGCACCCU